GCUCUCGUCGUUCAAUGGAUAGGACUCAAGCUUGCGGAGCUUGUAAUGUUGGUUCGAUUCCAACCGAGAGCACCA
rnacentral:tRNA from 1 species